AAAAAUUAUUGUAUUUACACUUUUAAAAAAAUGACUUUUGAUUUUUUAACAGAUAACCAAGCCGGGGCCAUACAAGAUUACUGCUUUGGUGUGUGACAAAUGGCCAACAGUUGCAGAGACAGAAACACCCGAGGAGUUGGUUUAAUAAUAGGCUGCUGAAACUAUGAUUGACGGAGCCCUUGCCCUAGGUGAUUCAGAAACAAAGGACACAAACGGGGUGUCAAUGGUAAAACCCAAAGAACAUGGCGAGGAAGGUGCUACGGGGUCCGACGGUGCGUCAGCUGAGGAUAAUGAUAAUUCAGAAUCAGACGAGGACAUCUUCAGAGGAUGAAGAGAGGCGGCCUUUAAGCAGAACAACCAUAAUAUGUACCUGUUGUUUUUGUGUGAAGCAAGAUGUUAAAAAAAAGUCUGUAAAAAGUAAGGAGAGUGACCAGAAAAGCUGUGAAGAAGAAGAAGAUGCUGUUAUGGUUGAUAUUAUUAGAGCUGUUGUAGUAAAAGCCUUUUACCACUGUUUGAAAAAACAACUUUUGGAAAACUGUGCAGCCUGCACUGUAAAUAAGUCCAACCCUUUUAGUCACCCUUGUAUUUUUUGGGAUCGCUCAGAAGUAUUUUACCAGCUUAGACGUAUUUCUUCUAAACUGAACGCAGCCCAGCUUGUAAAUAUAAUUAUAGCUGAAGGCUACAAACUGAAAAAGCUUAACAUAACCACUGAAACUAUAACCAAAGUUGUUAAAAUGAUUAGGGAGGUUGCAAAAACAUCUGACCCGGUGGCCUUGCUGGUAGACCUGUCAAAAGAGGUGGCCCCCGAUAUUGGCCAAUCGGUGUGUAGCAGGGUUCGUCAAAUGGAUUAUAAAACUUUUUACAUGCAAGCUUGUGACCCUAGAGGCUUAAAAA